rnacentral:lncRNA from 1 species
UGCAUCCAGCCUCUAGAAGUCUCUACACAAGCCCACGAAUCACGAUCAGAAGUCUUGAUCCAGAAAAUCAGCACAGUAUGCUAGUACUGCGUUGAUCCUUCUUCGAUGGUCGAUCAGAUACCUUCUUCUUCUUGAUUUGGACUCUUUCAAAGAUGAGAAGUAAGAGAAGGAGUCUUAGAUGAGACACUCUCAAAAAAUUUAUAGAUGGAGGA